GACGAACGCCGGCGGCGUGCCUAAUACAUGCAAGUAGGACGCAGUUGCGAACGGGUGAGUAACGCGUAGGUCACUACCUAUUAGAGGGGGAUAACUAUUGGAAACGAUAGCUAAUCCAGCAUACUAGCAGAUGGACCUGCGUUGUAUUUGCUAGUAGGUAGGGUAAAGGCCUACCUAGGCAACGAUACAUAGCCGACUGUGAGGGGUGAUAGGCCACACGGGGACUGGAACAACGGCCAGACGCCUACGGGAGGCAGCCGGAGGGAAUCGUCGGCAAUGGGGUGAACCCUGACCGAGCAACGGCGGGUGAGGUGAGAAGGUUUUCGGAUCGUAAAGCUCUGUUUUUAAGGAAGCGUUACUUGAAGAGAAAGGGACGGCUAACUACGUGCCAGCAGCCGCGGUAAUAC
rnacentral:rRNA from 1 species